CUAAUACUUCCUCCGUCCGAAAGUAUUUAUCGGAGAGAUGGAUGUAUCUACGCGUAGUUUAGUUCUAGAUACAUUUAAUUAUUUUUAUCCAUUUUUCUGAUAAAUAUUUUCGGACGAAGGGAUAUGCU
rnacentral:pre_miRNA from 1 species